AACUGUUGCCUGUGCAUCUUUUUCAACAUUAGACAAAACUACAGUUGCUUCCUGGUGCAGAGCCUCGUCUUCCUUUGUUGCUCUGAACGUUGAAAGCGCAGAUCUUCAGGGAAGAUGUGACGUUCAACACACACAACCCCGCAACAAACAGCAGAACUGCAGCCCUCAUCUUGCAGACGAUUACCACCCUCCUCUUACCUUCAGUGUCAGUUUGACCAGGAGACUGACCUCCAGUCCAGCAGAGAUCCAUCUCUUCAAUGAGCUGCGCUGUAUUUGGGGAACAUGCAGGUCUUCAAUUUGCUCUCUGAAAGGAGGAUGCCACAGCCACAACAUGGCAACCCCCGCCACAGCCAGGAGAAGAAGGAAGAACAC